rnacentral:lncRNA from 1 species
UUUGAUUUAAUGAAAUUCAUUGGUGAAAUGGUAAGGUUGGUAAUGGUGAGUUGAUUGAUAAGGCGUUGAUUAGAUUUUUGCAAAUUUAGUGUUGAUAAUCAUGAUUUGUACCUUGAAAUCUUUUGACAUGAUGAUUGAAUAGAAUUUUUCUGAAAAUUAAACUUUUGGUUUACACGAGGACGUGUAAAAGGCUAAGUGUGGGG